rnacentral:rRNA from 1 species
UACGUAGGGUGCGAGCGUUAAUCGGAAUUACUGGGCGUAAAGCGUGCGCAGGCGGUUCGUUGUGUCGGUGGUGAAAUCCCCGGGCUUAACCUGGGAAUUGCAUUCGAGACUGAAUAGCUAGGGUACGGUAGAGGGAAGUGGAAUUUCCGGUGUAGCGGUGAAAUGCGUAGAUAUCGGAAGGAACAUCAGUGGCGAAAGCGGGUUGCUGGGCUGAUACUGACGCUGAGGCGCGAAAGCCAGGGGAGCGAAACGGG